rnacentral:lncRNA from 1 species
AGUUACUAUCACGAGAACAACACGGGAAAACUGUCCCCAUAAUCAAGUCAUUUCUCUCCCUAACAAGUGAGGAUUACAAUUCAAGAUGAGGUUUGGGUAGGAACACAAAGCCUGACCCUAUCCCACAGCAUGUCCAGGCUGCCCUAGCACCACCCAAUAGAAGGGAAAAUGGCAGAGGGAAAGUCCUAGUGGAAAGAGACCUCAGUCUCAGCUAAUUGUGGUGACAAUAUAUUGCUUUUGCAAAUUGUACAUAAACAUAUGACCAGGUGAAUGUAUCGCCAAGGCUCCUGCCAAGGCCUGGGAUGGAGGCCUAGAGAAGAUGCCCGAAAGUUUAUGCUGUGUGAGCUUCACAGAAGACCUGCCUUCCAUGUAUACCCAUUUUACAGGACUCUCCAGAACUCUAAGAUGUCAGAACAAACUUUGGGACAUAGCUGGUCUUGUAGCAAAGGAUACAAAGAAUAGAUGAACUACACCUGGCUCUUCGAGUGUCUGAUAGAAGAAACACACCUUACCCACAGCCAUGUUACAUUGGCCAAAACAGGUCACGUGGCCACACUUGGGGCCAGUGAAGUAGAGAAGGAUAAUAUUUCUACAGAAAAGGGAUACCACAGGGAGGAGCAGCCAACAUUUUGAACAGAAAUAUAAUCUGCUAUAUAGGACAUUUCAUAAAGUAGGUCAAAUAUUUUUGGAAAAAAAAAAGAGGGGAGUCUAUGUAUGGUCAGUUAAGUUUAGGAACUCCUACAUAAUACCCAUCUCUAGAGCUAUGCAAUGUAAACCAGCACACCGAAGGCUCUCAGAAGUCCUGCAAUAGAAAAAUAAAAUCAAGAUUGUUUAA